rnacentral:tRNA from 1 species
UCCGUAUCGUCCAAUGGUAGGAUCAUCCCCCUGCUAAGGGGAAGAUGGCGGUUCGAUUCCGCCUGCGGAUU